GACGAACGCUGGCGGCGUGCUUAACACAUGCAAGUCGAACGGAAAGGCCCUGCUUUUGUGGGGUGCUCGAGUGGCGAACGGGUGAGUAACACGAGAGUAACCUGCCCUUGACUUUGGGAUAACUUCAGGAAACUGGGGCUAAUACCGGAUAGGAGCUCCUGCUGCAUGGUGGGGGUUGGAAAGUUUCGGCGGUUGGGGAUGGACUCGCGGUUUAUCAGCUUGUUGGUGGGGUAGUGGCUUACCAAGGCUUUGACGGGUAGCCGGCCUGAGAGGGUGACCGGCCACAUUGGGACUGAGAUACGGCCCAGACUACUACGGAGGACAGCAGUGGGAAAUAUUGCACAAUGGGCGGAAGCCUGAUGCAGCAACGCCGCGUGCGGGAUGACGGCCUUCGGGUUGUAAACCGCUUUCGCCUGUGACGAAGCGUGAGUGACGGUAAUGGGUAAAGAAGCACCGGCUAACUACGUG
rnacentral:rRNA from 1 species